rnacentral:rRNA from 1 species
AACGUAGGAGACAAACGUUAUCCGGAGUUACUGGGCGUAAAGGGCGUGUAGGUGGUGCUGUAAGUCUGGCGUGAAAUUUUUCGGCUUAACCGGGAAAGGUCGUCGGAUACUGCAGGACUAGAGGACGGUAGAGGCGUGUGGAAUUCCGGGUGUAGUGGUGAGAUGCGUAGAGAUCUGGAGGAACACCGGUGGCGAAGGCGGCCCCCUGGUUCGAUACUGACGCUGAGGUGCGAAAGCGUGGGGAGCAAACAGG